rnacentral:sRNA from 1 species
GGAGGAAGUUUGGGAAAUGCCGAUUUAGCAGAUUCUUUUGUUGUGCCAUGGAUGGUGCUGGUUGAUGUGGGCAAAACAAAGAACACCUCGCAUGGUCAGUAAAAGCAAAGACGGGACUGGAAGCGAUGACAAAAAAGCCAAG